GUUAAUUAUUUUUACACAUUUUUUGUAUUUAUAGAACAUGUAUUUCCUAACUUUCACAAUAUGAAGAAUAGCCUAUUGAACGUUUCCUGAAUGUCUCAUGAUUAUCAUACUACAAUAAAUACAAUACAAAUAUGUUUAUUAUAGUGACAUUGUGUAUAACAAAAUAUGUACAAUAUUGAAAUAUUUCAAUUAAAUAACACCCGUCCCAAUUGACCUAUAAGUCACUUCAAAUAGAUACUAUAGUAUUAAUUCAAAUUGUCAUCAGGAAUGUUAUAUACAUGGUAAUUAUUUAAAU
rnacentral:lncRNA from 1 species